rnacentral:misc_RNA from 1 species
GAUGAAGAACGUAGCGAAAUGCGAUAAGUAAUGUGAAUUGCAGAAUUCAGUGAAUCAUCGAAUCUUUGAACGCACAUUGCGCCCCUUGGUAUUCCGAGGGGCAUGCCUGUUCGAGCGUCAUUAUAACCCCUCAAGCUCAGCUUGGUGUUGGGGCCCGCUGUACUGGCGGCCCCUAAAAUCAGUGGUGGUGCCAUCUGGCUCUAAGCGUAGUAACUCUUCUCGCUACAGGGUCCCGGUGGAUGCUUGCCAUCAACCCCCAACUUUCUAUGGUUGACCUCGGAUCAGGUAGGGAUACCCGCUGAACUUAAGCAUAUCAAUAAGCGGAGGA